GAAAUGCGAUAAGUAAUGUGAAUUGCAGAAUUCAGUGAAUCAUCGAAUCUUUGAACGCACAUUGCGCCCGCCAGUAUUCUGGCGGGCAUGCCUGUCCGAGAGUCAUUUCAACCAUCAAGCCCCCGGGCUUGUGUUGGGGACCUGCGGCUGCCCGCAGGCCCUGAAAACCAGUGGCGGGCUCGCUGUCACACCGAGCGUAGUAGCAAUCACCUCGCUCAGGGCGUGCUGCGGGUUCCGGCCGUUAAACAGCCUUACAAAACCCAAGGUUGACCUCGGAUCAGGUAGGAAGACCCGCUGAACUUAAGC
rnacentral:misc_RNA from 1 species